UACGUAGGGCGCAAGCGUUGUCCGGAAUUAUUGGGCGUAAAGAGCUCGUAGGCGGCUUGUCACGUCGGGUGUGAAAGCCCGGGGCUUAACCCCGGGUCUGCAUUCGAUACGGGCUAGCUAGAGUGUGGUAGGGGAGAUCGGAAUUCCGGUGUAGCGGUGAAAUGCGUAGAUAUCGGAAGGAACAUCAGUGGCGAAAGCGACUUCCUGGACCAGUACCGACGUUCAGGCACGAAAGCGUGGGGAGCAAACAGG
rnacentral:rRNA from 1 species